rnacentral:lncRNA from 10 species
CUUUGUUAUGGAAAAAAAUUUAUUUCAAAUUUCUUCUGAAUGAAUAAGCAUGCAUAAAUAGCCAGGCAAAUUAAUGAGAGAGCAUUUGUCCUAUUGGAUAUUAUAAGCAUACAAGUAUAAACAUUAAACCAUUAUAUAAUAACAGAAAGCCCAAUAGCACAGAAUCCAUAAUUCAGAAACAGACUCAUGUGUGUGUGAGAACUUGAUAUAUGAUCAAGGUGGACUAUCAACAAAAUGGGUUGGAUAAACUGACUAAUCAUUUGGAAAAAAUAGAAAUAACAAAUCUCUAUGCCCAAAUUAAGCUUCAGAAGGAGCAAAUACCUAGACAUAAAAAUAUACAUUUUUAUUAAAGUACUGAAAUAAAACUUAGGUAAUUGAUUUAUAAUCUUAGCACACAACUUUUUAGAUGGUCACUUGACCCUAUGUAUUAGUAUUUUAAAGUUUGAAUCAACAAUUCCAUUCGUGGGAUUUUUUUUCCCCCGAAGCCAUAAUGGGUCAAGGUGACAGAGAAAGAUAUACAAGUCUGGUCAUUAAGCAUUUUUGUAAUGGUGAAAAAUUGGAAACAACUUAAAUGUUGAUUAAAUAAAUUAUAGCAUACCCAUACAAUGAAACCCAAACAGCCAAUUAGAAUAAUGAUAUAUCACCACACUGAUACUCCAUUGCCUGAGCACUGUUGGUAGGAAAGCCUGCUCCUGUUACAGCCCUGACAGCAGUUUAUGUCUAUGCCUGCUGAUCCAUCCUCACCAACACCAGGGGGUGUUGUUCACAUGCUUGUUAUCUAGAGCUGUCCUUUCUGCCCAUCAACAGACAGUUCUGCCCAUGGGCACAGGCAAUUGGUCUCAACUGCGCAUGGUUUGCCCUGUAAUGCCCUCCAAAUGACCAGCUGAAAAGAUUGAUAGUCUAGAGCAGAGGACCUGCGGCACCUGAUCCACAGACCAGACAGUUAGGAGGCUUCUUUGUCCUCCCAGAAGUGCAGGCAAAGUUUUGGUGUUCAUCAAAUGAGUGAUCAAUGACAGGUUAUCACACCUACUGCAAAAAUAUAUGGCACUUCCCUCUCCACCUCCACAGUGGGCUGUGAAAAUUAAUUGAGUUCAGGCUGUGAAAAACUUAAGCUGCUACAUGAAAUGCAAAAUCAUUAAGCUUCAGAGAUUGUAACAUUCUGCUUGUGGCCUUGGGACUGAAACACCAGAUGUCAUGCCCAAUAAUGACUUCACUUUUCAUCCAACUUCAACAACUCAAGAUUGAGCGCAUUUUGGGUUUUGACCUUGCACUGCUAUACUGAGAUUCAGCAGAAGUUAACUACCCGCAAGACUCCCUCCAGAGAACUGAGGCCUCAGGAUCAUCUUCAACACCUUCACCCAGAGUACGGAGACAAAACCCUUGCCACAUAGACCUGCCACACCACAAUACCAGGUGGAGAUGCACCGUUGCUUGAGUUGGUCCACCAAGAAAGUUGCCAUAGAAGCCUGAAGUUACGACAGCUUAUAAGGAAGUGGUUAUCGAUUAUGACGGAUGGAGAAAAUGUAAGCUGCCUAUGUUUCAUUCAGACUCAUACUAGCUCUGGUUAGAGAAAUCAAUUAAAAGGAGGAAAAGAUGAGGAAGUUCUGCAAAAAUAAAUUCAAGGGUCAACUAGCAGUGGAUAAAGACACAACUAUGAUCUCUGUGACUUCUUUCCUCUUUUAUUUGACAUUUUUUCACUUCCGCAUGAUAAAGAAAAUAGAGACAUGGCAUGCUGGAAAGAAAACUAAAGCUAUUUCUUUAAUGAAGUCCACUAACCUCGGAAGGAAGACUGAAGUAUUCUUGUGGCUUCAACAGACAAAUGAUAGUAGCUGCUAAGACAGAAACUGCUUGGAAAGACUAUUGAUUUUAGAUUCAGAGAAAAUGAAUAAGGAAAAGUUUAAGAUUGAUGAGAAAGGUAUACAAUGUGCUACGAGAAUUUUUUCUAAAAGUCACGUUUAAAAAAACGAGUUUAUAGUGGAUUUUAGGUUAAAUUCCUUUAAUAAAGGGUUACAUGUUUCCUGACUAUGUAUAAGAAAUUCAUGAAUGUGACUCUAAGAGACUUGAAUAAAAGGACCCACAUGUCUUUUGCCCUGUGAUGGCCUGCCUAAAUUGCAGGGCUAUAAAAAGGAAAACCACCUUUAAAAGCUUCAACCCUAAGUUGACUUUAUCUUAUAGAAGAAAGAAUUUCAUGUGUAUGCUAAAUAUAUACAUAUAGCAUAUAAUGUAUAUAUAAUUUCCUGAUAAAAUCUUCUGUUUUAGUGUACUUGCAUCUGGGUACAUAACCUCCCCACAUCUCUUUGGUAUUCUUAUUUGUUCUGCUUUUCCAUUUUACAUAUUUUCCCCAAGUGCCAAACAUUAAUAAAAUUGCUAGCAUUGAUUAUUUUUCCUUCACUAAUACAUCCCUUUGAGCCUAUUUCCCCAGAAACAAAUAACUAGAGACAACCUAUCCUUUGCUGACACAUGAAAAUCCUAUAAUUGCAGACAGGAACAAAGAUUCUAAAGGAAGUCUCUGUCUUCAGUUCUUAGAUUAUUGUCCCCCCAUCUUCUAGCCCUCCCCUCAUCCCCAUUCAUCU